UUGUAGUAUUGAUUUACUUAUUCUAAAUAUGAAGCUAACUACCUCACCACUAUCAGAAGCAAGUUCAACAACAGAAGGAAAAUUCAGGCCGCGAGGAAGUGAAUCUGCAAGUUUCUGAUCGUCAAGUCGAGUUUUCAGCACAACCCGAAAUGUCGACGAAUAGUGAAGCUAUUCCUUUGAAUGCCAUCAAGGAAAAAAUGCGAAAUAAAUAUGUGGUUGUCAGAAUUUUGCGCUUAUGGGUUCAAAAAGAUAAAUUGGGCAAGGAAGCACUUGAAAUGAUCGUUAUUGAUGAAUGGGGCAACAAAAUCCAAGCAUCCGUCUCAAUAGGGUACAAGAAAAAGUUUCAUGAGUUACUUAAAGAGGGACAAGUAACAGUUAAUUAAAAACUUCCAAGUAGCGCAAAACAAUCCUAACUUUCAGCAUGCAAAAAUCAAUCAUGAGUGGAAAAUCGGUUUUAGCCUUGGAACCAUUGUUUCUGAAUCAACUGAACGCCCGAAUAUUACUCAAAAUGGAUUUGAUUUCAUCCAUUUUCGAAAUAUUCAUUCACAUGAUCCAGAAUUGGUAUUGUAUAUUCUUGGGGAGGUAAAAACUGAAAAUAUUACCAUAGAUUGUGUUGAAAUGAAGCAUGGCAAAGCUAAGAAGUGUGACAUAACAUUGGCUGAUGCAGAUGGCACACAAGUAAUUUGUGUAUUGUGGGAACCAUAUGCCGACGAACUCAAAAUAUUCAUGGAAAGCAGAUCAAGCGAGGAUAAAGAACCAGUAAUGAUAGCUUUACAAUUU